rnacentral:misc_RNA from 1 species
CCGAUUUUUAGCGAGCCUGACCUCCUUCGGUCACGGUCUCGCGAAAACUGUAUUUAAAACCCCACUCUUAUUUUUAUUAUAAAAUGAAUCAUCAUUGUAUGUAAAUAAAGA